GGUAAAAUGGCUGAAAAUAAGUAAUAAAUUGUAAAUUUAUAUAUGAGGAUAUCCUCUUUUAUCA
rnacentral:tRNA from 1 species